rnacentral:rRNA from 1 species
AUUGAACGCUGGCGGAAUGCUUUACACAUGCAAGUCGAACGGUAGAGGGGGCAACCCCUUGAGAGUGGCGAACGGGUGAGUAAUAUAUCGGAACGUGCCCAGUCGUGGGGGAUAACGUAGUGAAAAUUACGCUAAUACCGCAUACGAUCUAAGGAUGAAAGCGGGGGAUCGCACGACCCCGCGCGAUUGGAGCGGCCGAUAUCAGAUUAGGUAGUUGGUAGGGUAAAGGCCUACCAAGCCAACGAUCUGUAGCUGGUCCGAGAGGACGACCAGCCACACUGGAACUGAGACACGGUCCAGACUCCUACGGGAGGCAGCAGUGGGGAAUUUUGGACAAUGGGCGAAAGCCUGAUCCAGCCAUUCCGCGUGCAGGAUGAAGGCCCUCGGGUUGUAAACUGCUUUUGUACAGAACGAAAAGGUCUCUAUUAAUACUAGGGGCUCAUGACGGUGCUGUAAGAAUAAGCACCGGCUAACUACGUGCCAGCCGCCGCAGUAA